GGGGAAUAUUGCACAAUGGGGGAAACCCUGAUGCAGCAACGCCGCGUGAAGGAAGACGGUUUUCGGAUUGUAAACUUCUAUCAAUAGGGACGAUAAUGACGGUACCUGAGGAGGAAGCCACGGCUAACUACGUGCCAGCAGCCGCGGUAAUACGUAGGUGGCAAGCGUUGUCCGGAUUUACUGGGCGUAAAGGGAGCGUAGGCGGAUACUUAAGUGGGAUGUGAAAUACCUGGGCUUAACUUGGGUGCUGCAUUCCAAACUGGGUGUCUAGAGUGUUGGAGAGGAAAGUGGUAUUCCUCGUGUAGCGGUGAAAUGCGUAGAGAUUAGGAAGCACACCAGUGGCGAAGGCGACUUUCUGGACAAUAACUGACGCUGAGGCUCGAAAGCGUGGGGAGCAAAC
rnacentral:rRNA from 1 species